GUCUUUUCAGUGCUUUCUGAGCCUGAGUUAUGGCUAAACCAUUCUCAAGGACUAGUUGAAGUCUCUUGUUUGUUUUCUUGAUGCUUUUCCUAGUGUCUUGUAAAUCAUCUUCUGUCUUUGGCACUGGUAAAGGGUGAAGCAAGCAGUUCCACCACUGCAAUAUAUCUACGUUUUGUUACAGCAGGAGGAACAGAGCCCAGCUCCUGACUGAAGGUCUUUUGAGUUGUUCUAAUGAAUAGCAUCGCUUCGGGAUCAGCCCAGUGAACACUAUCAGUUUGCCUCAUUUACCCUUCCACUCCCCAUGCACUGUGUUAGACCUGGGACUUCGUGCUAUGCUCCUCCUGGGUCAUGGCUUGGCUUCUUUUCAGAGGGUAAAUCCUGCAGCUCCACCGACACACAACUGCUCACGAUGGCCUCAUGAAGCAGCCCACGUGGCUCGUCUGCAGGCACGUGGCCUUGAAGUCAGCCAAAGAAGGCUUCUGGCAUGUUUUCUCCUCAAAGUUGGGGAUGAGGGAGGAGGAGAAGGCUGCAAUAAUUGAGCUGAGAAAACUUUUUGUCUCCUGUCUGGGUCCCAGUGGGCUUCAAAGAGGGUUGAGAAGUGCCAAGUUCUCGGGCUGGCCCUGUCCCAUGUGGCAGCUGCCUCUGUUCAAGUGAUGGCAGGUUCUUCCUGGAGGAGCUGCCACAUUCCCUGUGACAUUGGCACAACUCAGGUGUCCUGAAAAAGAGGCUUUGUCAUCAUCUUUUUGCUAUAUAUUCUGCACCGGACAGUCUAAAUGCUUUUUAUGAAUGUCAGAUUGUUCAGCAUCAAGGCUGUUAUCCUCAGGGAACCAUUGGAAAAAACGAAGAGCAAGGAGAUGAGGAUUUGUAUUGCUUUGGAUGUUUGGCAUUUUGGAAGAAGAUGACUGUAAUUCAGGUGAUGUUGGAGAAGAAUGAAACUUAACAAAAGCAUCUUAUCUAUUCAGCGCUGAACCUACAUAAAUGGGCCACAUGCACUGAGCUGAGUGCCUGGAGUAACAUCACAGCCAAAGGGUUCAGACCCCCAGCCUUGGAUCUCCCCAGUUUUGUGAACUUUGGCUCUGUGUCAUCUCUAUAACCUCCAAAGAGACUGACUGAACCUCCGGCUGGGCUCUCACCACGUCUCUGGGCAAGUGAUGGGCUCCCACUUGCCUGUCCAGCACUGGUCCCCCCAGGCACACGCCUGUUGGUGCUGCAGUGUUGCAUUUCUGACCUGUCGUUGCUCCGUGACCUGAGCGAAGGUUACCAGUGUUUUUGUGUGGACUCUGUGUUUACUAUUUAAGGUGAGCAAGAGGCUCUGGAUUCCACUGGUUGGGUCAUCCUCUCUGUUUCCCAACUCAAUGCAAACGGACAGACAGGCAAGGUAGCUCUUCCUUGAAAACCUUCAAAUUCUGUUGAGAUGUGCCAGUUUCUGGCAGACUGUGCUGGCAACACACAAUGGAUACAACUCAGUUAUAGUUGUUCAUUUUUGUAAGCGUUGUCUUCAAAAGCACCAUCUUCUACCACCUUGAGCCACUUCCCUGGAGUCCUUAGCACCAGGCUCCAGCACAAACACGCCCAGCUCUGGCAUAUUCCUUCCAGGAGAGGGCAGGGGAAUACAGUUUAUUGCAGAUCCUCUCCUGAACAGGAGCCAGGUUUAGUCAUGUCCCAGAUCUUCCUGUAUGUCUUCUAGUCUAUUUUGCUUUCCUAAAUGCAGUAGAGAGGUAAGUGCUGAAUCUUGAAGUGAGUCAGUGGAUUUUGUCACAUUUACAGACCUGCCUGUUCCUGAGUCAUCUUCACGAGGGACAGCUUGGGCUGCGCUGCUCGCCUUGCUCUUGAACCUCUAGGAACGUGCCUCAUCUGUCACAUUGGAGGCAUCAGCUCCUGCGCAGCUUUGGGACCAAGGUUUAAACAGCUGAGGCCCAGCUCUUCUGCUUCAUAUCAUCGCAUCAGGGGAGGCAGCGAUGGGACAGCGUGUCUGUCACUCGCUUAGCACACCCAUAUUCCUGCAGGAGAUGGCCUGAUUCCCUUGGCCGUUCAGAAUAGUAAUUGGUGCAGCUCUGCUCUUGGGUGUGUUUGACCACAGAUGAAAACCCAGGAGGUCUGCAUCAAAAGCCAGGUUUGGAACGGGACCUGGUUAAAGAUGGUUUGGAAAAAUAGCAGCCAGAAAGUCAGCUGAUAUUUUCUUUCUCAGUAUCUUAAUGAACAGAAAGUUUGGGAGAAAAUCAGAAACUCUUGCCAGCUCUCCGCAGUUUUUAAUAUUCCAAAGGGCCUUAACAUACAAAAAUCCUAAAAUGAGUUUCUUCCAUCUUAUCCCCACCUAGGCCAAUAACUCUGACUUGAAAAGACAACAUAAUUUCCAAACUAGUUAAGGAAAGAAAAAUAUAUGAAAGAAUUAAUAAGCUGUUGGCUCUGCAGCACAGAUGCCCUUGCAAGGCCAAAGAAAUGAAGCCCUGAGAUUGCUGUUGCUGUUUCCACCUUGUCCUGCAGAACCACAGUCAGGGAUAAACAUAUUCUUUGUGUCAAUAUUUCUGUAGUACCCAGAGAACUUGCAGUCCUUAUCUGUGAGUGUCAAGGACUGCCGAGUUAAAGCGAUCGUAACGUUACUGGGGAGUUUGACAGGCUUGGGCACUUGCCCUGGGCUGUGUUACAGCUCCGGGGCUGAGGGCUGGAGCCCCGCAAGGCUCGGUUGGACGCUGCCACCGGCUUUGUGGCAGAGGAAUGGGAUCUGUCUGCAGGUGGCUGGUUCAGGAAAAUCCCCAAAUAGAAGCUGAACUCUUUAAUUUUUCUUUGCCUGAUUGUUUUUGCUUCUCUCAUUGGGAAAGAGCGGCCUCGAUUUGUAAAUCACAUGGAAAUGUGCAAGUAAUCAAUUCAGCCUUGCUAACCCUUCUGCCAAGCGGCCGGUUGGCUCUCCAGACUGCUGACAGUUUGCUGCUGCGGCGAUGGGGAAUAGCAGGGGCUGGGGCACAGAUACCACAGGUGACCUCUAAGGCAGCAAAGUACUUACCCUGUGCAGCACAAUCCCUCUUUUUGCCCAUCUGUGAAGCUCAAACACUUUCCCUUCCGGUCUCUUCAAAAGCAAGAAGUCAUUUGUAACACAAAACUGCAAAAAAACUUACAGAAGAUGGGAAAACCUAAAGCAGGAAAAAAAUCAGCCUCAGUACAGCCACGUGUGGAAAGGCAAAGUGUGGGCAGAGCCAAACAAGCCUGAGGUGCAAACUGCUGAGCACGGAGCAGCCUUUUGCUCCCUCUCCCACCUUUCCCGGUGCUGUGCUACGUGGCACAGCAGUUUGGGAACAACUUCAGCCCGCAAUUUCUUUUUCACUUUACAAUGCAGUGCUAUUAUCUCCAGGAAAAUUUUAAAAGCCUUGAAUGCUGAGCUUUAUUUGCCUUUCCUGACUGGAUCUUUAGCACACAGGCAUCAGACAAAGGACAAUGGAAAGUGCCUUAACUUCGCUUUAGCCCCCGUGUUUGGCGGGGCAGUAGGAAUGCCACAGAGGCUGUCUGAGCAGGGGAACCAGUUUGACCAAAGUUCUCUCCUGAAAGGUGGCAAAAGAGAUGAUGGAAAUUCCCCAGGCAGGAUCAAGCCAUAGAGGGGACAACUGAUUUUUAAAGAACUUGGUGACGAGCUGGACAGGGAAGGAAGUCACCUAGCAAUGCACAAAAAGCAUGGGGCAGAGGAUAAGGUGUAUGCAUUCUAUAGCAGGGAGCAUGGGCUGAGUUUUGCUGCAGUACCAAAUAAAGCCACCGGACAGAAGAAAGCUGACCUGAAACGUUGGUGACAACGGCACAAAAGAUCAUCCCCAAAAAGCCUGCCCCAGCCCAACAGUCCUUGCUGGUUCUUGUGAAAAGCUGGCAGCCAAAAGUGAUCAGAGGAUAUGUCUUGAUAUGUGCAUUUCUCCUGCUGUUACGCAAAAGCUCACAGUGCCUCCAAAACCUUGAGCAAAGCUGAGAUGUGUGCCAAUUGGCUUUCGCUGUCACAGGGCUCCAAGGAAUUGAUCAGUAAAACAGUUCUCAGCUUGAGAGAUUCAUUCAGUUAUCCUGGAUGGGUGGAGAAGAGGCUGGCAUUACCACUGCAGCUUGUAAAUCUCAAUUUUGGGUUUAAGCCCAAAAGCUACUUCUAUGGACCCCAGAAUCAGGACUGUGAUUUGAGGGCUCACAACAGGCUCAGUGUGAGAGGAAAAAAAACUUCUGAGGGUGUCCUGAUGUCCAAUAGCCUGAACAGAGCAGGAAUAUCUACAAAAUUGCUGGACCUCCAGAAGCCCCCAAGGCACAGCCUCUGCACAAAUGUCCAAGAACUUUUCUGAAGUUACCCAGCACAGCUGAUCCCACAUACAUGAGGGCAUCAGGACAUGUGUGAGACUUUGGUGCAUCCAGAACCUGUCACACAGUGGGUGAGCUCACAUCAGGGGUUCAUCCUGGAUGCUCUAGAUUCAUUUCCCCUGGCAUUAUGUGUUGCCUGCAUGCAUUUUUAAAAUUUAUUUAUUU